AACGCACCUUGCGCUCCUUGGUAUUCCGAGGAGCAUGCCUGUUUGAGUGUCAUUAAAUUCUCAACCUCACCCGUUUUCUGAACACGGGGUCGAGGCUUGGAUGUGGGGGUUUGUGCAGGCUGCCUUCACUGGCGGUCUGCUCCCCUGAAAUGCAUUAGCGAGGUUCAUGCUGAACUUCCGUCUAUUGGUGUGAUAAUUAUCUACGCCGUGGACGAGGAUCAGACUCGCUUCUAACCGUCCGCGAGGACAAUACCUUGACAAUUUGACCUCAAAUCAGGUAGGACUACCCGCUGAACUUAA
rnacentral:misc_RNA from 1 species